AUCACUGGUCACCACUACCUUGUUUGUCUGUCUUCUAUUGGGUGUUGGUUUUCUGAGGAGGAUGUGAGCAUUCUAGUUACUGAUGGGGCCCCUGUCAUGGGGGGGAAAGGGCCAUGAGUAUUGUGUAAAUUGGGGAUCUGAGUCCAGAACUGAGGGAAUGGGCUGUGGUAAGUGCGUCCUGUUUGGUUUACAUGGUUCCUGGUAAUGGUAGUGCCAGUGGGAGCAGAGGAGCUGCUUGCAUCCAUGAGGUACUUAAGAGGCUUUGGGAGGUGCAGUUUGUGAAAGAAUGUCAUGCGAGCAGUGGAGGAUCUGAGUCUUGCCUGUUCCUGAGAUGAAGUGGAAAUUGACACAAGUUUGGAUAGAAGAUAGAUGUGAGGCUAGACCUGGUGGGAAAAAGAGUUCUGUGUGAAGAUGGGGGUCCAAUUUGCCAAAGAACCAGUGAAGUUGAAGUAUGGCUGUGGGGGACAUGAAGUACCUGUUUCCUGGAAUGGAAGUUAAUUUGAUGUCAAGUUUGCAAGAAGCUAUUUCCAUCUGUGCAGUCAGAAGGUAUCAGUGUCAGCGGAGAAGACUUUGGUGUGCUUUGUUUGGAAGAAUUGGGCUUAGAUUGUAUAUUUUUUGGGUUGCGAUGUGAAGUGUCGUCUGUUUGAUGGCUAGAAUGUAGUGGAGCAGUGGUGCUAGUGUCACUGUGUUCUGGUAGAUACCAGAGCUACUGCUAUCAUGAAAUGGCAUUAUUGUCAUUUCUGCUAUCCCAAUUGGAGAGGUUGGGUUCAUUUGCUUGGUCAGUUAUGUGAAGUAGUUCCUGUAAUUACUUGGACAAAAUCUAACGUACUUUUGAAAGGAGUGGCUUGUUUGUCACGUGGAAUGUUCUAGCCAUCAAAGUUGCAAGAGGACACUGUUAUGGGUUGUAUCAUUCUUUGGGCAUUCUGAAGUGUUUGUCAAUUGUCUUCAUAUUGUUGCAUAUGCUGUAUUUGUAGAGUUGUAAUGUAUAGGUUGGGGUGUGGUUAGAUGACUCAUUUUGUCAUCCACAUUGUUGUGUGCUAAAUCACUGCAGUGAUUUUGAAACCAUGGUGCAGUGCAGUCAAACAGCUGGAAGGCUGACAUUGUUACAAAUUUGUCAGCCUUUCGGCUGUUUAGCUGCACUGCACCAUGGUUGGGACUGUCCCGGACAGUCUUUGACUUAACUUUUCACAUGUGGAGGUGCUAUAGAGGGAGCAUGCUGGCCAGCUGCUAGGUGAGGUAUGUUCAAGUCCCAGUCCCACAUCUCACAAUAGAUGCAAGGUUUUGUACAGGUGAUGGGUGAUGUUUUGAAGCAUAUGGAAAUUAAAUGCCAGUGUUGCUUUUGGUGUAUGGUAACUGUGGUGUUAUGUAAUGAUUAUAUGAAUGUAUGUGAAAUAAAACAUUGUCCAGUACUGCACACACA